rnacentral:rRNA from 1 species
GGUCUCCGUUGGUGAACCAGCGGAGGGAUCAUUACCGAGUUUCAACUCCCAAACCCCUGUGAACAUACCUAUACGUUGCCUCGGCGGAUCAGCCCGCGCCCCGUAAAACGGGACGGCCCGCCCGAGGACCCCUAAACUCUGUUUUUAGUGGAACUUCUGAGUAAAACAAACAAAUAAAUCAAAACUUUCAACAACGGAUCUCUUGGUUCUGGCAUCGAUGAAGAACGCAGCAAAAUGCGAUAAGUAAUGUGAAUUGCAGAAUUCAGUGAAUCAUCGAAUCUUUGAACGCACAUUGCGCCCGCCAGUAUUCUGGCGGGCAUGCCUGUUCGAGCGUCAUUUCAACCCUCAAGCUCAGCUUGGUGUUGGGACUCGCGGUAAACCCCGCGUUCCCCAAAUCGAUUGGCGGUCACGUCGAGCUUCCAUAGCGUAGUAAUCAUACACCUCGUUACUGGUAAUCGUCGCGGCCACGCCGUAAAACCCCAACUUCUGAAUGUUGACCUCGGAUCAGGUAGGAAUACCCGCUGAACUUAAGCAU